rnacentral:rRNA from 1 species
AUUGAACGCUGGCGGCAGGCUUAACACAUGCAAGUCGAGCGGGGUGAUGGUGCUUGCACUAUCACUUAGCGGCGGACGGGUGAGUAAUGCUUAGGAAUCUGCCUAUUAGUGGGGGACAACAUCUCGAAAGGGAUGCUAAUACCGCAUACGUCCUACGGGAGAAAGCAGGGGAUCACUUGUGACCUUGCGCUAAUAGAUGAGCCUAAGUCGGAUUAGCUAGUUGGUGGGGUAGAGGCCUACCAAGGCGACGAUCUGUAGCGGGUCUGAGAGGAUGAGCCGCCACACUGGGACGGAGACACGGCCCAGACUCCAACUGAAGGCAGCAGUGGGGAAUAUUGGACAAUGGGGGGAACCCUGAGCCAGCCAUGCCGCGUGUGUGAAGAAGGCCUUAUGGUUGUAAAGCACUUUAAGCGAGGAGGAGGCUCUUUUGGUUAAUACCCAAGAUGAGUGGACGUUACUCGCAGAAUAAGCACCGGCUAACUCUGUGCCAGCCGCCGCAGUAA